UUAAGCUCUCUAGCGCCGAUGGUAGUUGGGACCUUGUCCCUGUGAGAGUAGGACGUCGCCAAGCUAUUUAUAUCAUCGCGGGGUGGAGCAGCACGGUAGCUCGUCGGGCUCAUAACCCGAAGGUCGCAGGUUCAAAUCCUGUCCCCGCAACCAAAUGGUCCCGUGGUGUAGUGGUUAACAUGCCUGCCUGUCACGCAGGAGAUCGCCGGUUCGACCCCGGUCGGGACCGCCAUUUUAUAUAAAGAAAAGAACGAAACAAGUUGUUUCGUAUUUUUUUAUUUGUUUUAACAAAAAACUAAUAAAGACAGUCAAACUAUCCUUAGGAAAACUCCUAAGGACUUUUUUAUAUAUUUAAAACCUGUAUAAUAAAGAGCAGAGAACAUUGUGAAUAAAGUAGGUGAAGUCUGUGAGUAAAUAUGAAGUAACAACAAAAUCUUCUGAGGAAACACAAAGAUUAUCAGAAAGAUUAGGUGAACUUGUAAAGGCACAAGAUGUAAUUAUUUUAGAAGGAGAUCUUGGAGCUGGCAAGACGACUUUUACAAAAGGGUUAGCAAAAGGUCUUGGAGUGAAAAGAGUUGUAAAUAGUCCUACCUUUAAUAUUAUUAAAGAAUAUAAGGGAAGAUUACCGUUAUAUCAUAUGGACGUGUAUCGUUUAGCGGAAAGUGAAGAGGACUUAGGUUUUGAUGAGUAUUUCUAUGGUGAAGGAAUUACAGUAGUAGAAUGGGCUCAUUUAAUAGAAGCAUAUUUACCAAAUGAAAAGUUACAAAUUAGUUUAUUCCAUGCUGGAGAUGACACGAGAAAAAUUGUACUCGAGCCAAUUGGAGAUCGCUAUAUUAGAUUAUGUGAGGAGCUAUUACAAGAUGAAAGUACUAGCAAUUGAUACUUCAAAUUACGUAAUGGGUGUAUCCCUUAUUGAAGAAGGAAACGUAAUUGGGGAAAUCAUUACAAAUUUAACAAAAAAUCAUUCUGUGCGUCUUAUGCCAGCUGUAGAACAACUGUUAAAAGAAUGUGGUGUAAAACCGAAAGAAUUAACUAAAAUAGUUGUAGCUGCUGGACCAGGGUCAUAUACAGGUGUUCGUAUAGGUGUGACAGCUGCUAAAACAUUAGCUUGGUCACUUCAAAUACCAAUUGUAGGUGUAUCAAGUUUAGAAGUAGUGGCUGCAAACGGAGCUAAUUUUGAUGGGUUAAUCUGUCCUUUAUUCGAUGGAAGACGUGGACAAAUUUAUACUGGCUUAUAUACAUAUGAAGGAGAGGAUUUAACUUCUAUAGAAGAAGACCGAAUCAUCCUUAUUGUAGACUGGUUGCAAAUGUUAAAAGAUAAAGGAAAGUCUGUUUUAUUUAUUGGUAACGAUGUGAAACUACACAAAGAAACAAUUAUUGAACAGUUAGGCGAUCAAGCUGUAUUUGCUCCUUUCACUAAAAAUAACCCAAGACCAAGUGAGCUAGCGUUCUUAGGAUUACAAAAAGAAGAACAAGAUGUACAUUCAUUUGUUCCUAGUUACCUUCGUUUAGCUGAAGCUGAAACAAAGUGGUUAGAAAGUCAAAACAAGUAGGAGUCUGCAGAGGAUGGAUAUGAUAUUUAGAAAGAUGGAACUCGAUGAUAUUGCUCAAAUUGUAGCUAUUGAAGAAGCAUCUUUUUCNNNNNNNNNNNUGUGAUGGGGAAGCUCCUUAUGGAGCGAAGUCUUUGAUUCCCCGCUGCCAAGAAAAGCUUCUAGCGAGAUAAAAGGUGCCUGUACCGCAAACCGACACAGGUAGGCGAGGAGAGAAUCCUAAGGUGUGCGAGAGAACUCUGGUUAAGGAACUCGGCAAAAUGACCCCGUAACUUCGGGAGAAGGGGUGCUUUCUUAACGGAAAGCCGCAGUGAAUAGGCCCAAGCGACUGUUUAGCAAAAACACAGCUCUCUGCGAAGCCGUAAGGCGAAGUAUAGGGGGUGACACCUGCCCGGUGCUGGAAGGUUAAGGAGAGGGGUUAGCGUAAGCGAAGCUCUGAACUGAAGCCCCAGUAAACGGCGGCCGUAACUAUAACGGUCCUAAGGUAGCGAAAUUCCUUGUCGGGUAAGUUCCGACCCGCACGAAAGGUGUAACGAUUUGGGCACUGUCUCAACCAGAGACUCGGUGAAAUUAUAGUACCUGUGAAGAUGCAGGUUACCCGCGACAGGACGGAAAGACCCCGUGGAGCUUUACUGUAGCCUGAUAUUGAAUUUUGGUACAGUUUGUACAGGAUAGGCGGGAGCCUUUGAAACCGGAGCGCUAGCUUCGGUGGAGGCGCUGGUGGGAUACCGCCCUGACUGUAUUGAAAUUCUAACCUACGGGUCUUAUCGACCCGGGAGACAGUGUCAGGUGGGCAGUUUGACUGGGGCGGUCGCCUCCUAAAGUGUAACGGAGGCGCCCAAAGGUUCCCUCAGAAUGGUUGGAAAUCAUUCGUAGAGUGCAAAGGCAUAAGGGAGCUUGACUGCGAGACCUACAAGUCGAGCAGGGACGAAAGUCGGGCUUAGUGAUCCGGUGGUUCCGCAUGGAAGGGCCAUCGCUCAACGGAUAAAAGCUACCCCGGGGAUAACAGGCUUAUCUCCCCCAAGAGUCCACAUCGACGGGGAGGUUUGGCACCUCGAUGUCGGCUCAUCGCAUCCUGGGGCUGUAGUCGGUCCCAAGGGUUGGGCUGUUCGCCCAUUAAAGCGGUACGCGAGCUGGGUUCAGAACGUCGUGAGACAGUUCGGUCCCUAUCCGUCGUGGGCGUAGGAAAUUUGAGAGGAGCUGUCCUUAGUACGAGAGGACCGGGAUGGACGCACCGCUGGUGUACCAGUUGUUCUGCCAAGGGCAUAGCUGGGUAGCUAUGUGCGGAAGGGAUAAGUGCUGAAAGCAUCUAAGCAUGAAGCCCCCCUCAAGAUGAGAUUUCCCAUAGCGUAAGCUAGUAAGAUCCCUGAAAGAUGAUCAGGUUGAUAGGUUCGAGGUGGAAGCAUGGUGACAUGUGGAGCUGACGAAUACUAAUAGAUCGAGGACUUAACCAU
rnacentral:rRNA from 1 species